ACGAACCGUCCAAACGUUACUCGGAAUUACUGGGCUUAAAGGGUGCGUAGGCUGCGCGGAAAGUUGGGUGUGAAAGCCCUCAGCUCAACUGGGGAAUUGCAUUCAAAACUACCGUGCUCGAGGGAGACAGAGGUAAGCGGAACUCAAGGUGGAGCGGUGAAAUGCGUUGAUAUCUUGAGGAACACCGGUGGCGAAGGCGGCUUACUGGGUCUCUUCUGACGCUGAGGCACGAAAGCUAAGGUAGCAAACGGGAUUAGAUACCCCGGUAGUCUUAGCUGUAAACGAUGAGCACUUGUUUGAAGGGUCCUCCAUAGCCUUUCAGACGUAGCGAAAGUGUUAAGUGCUCCGCCUGGGGAGUAUGGUCGCAAGGCUG
rnacentral:rRNA from 1 species